AGCGAACGCUGGCGGCAGGCCUAACACGUGCAAGUCGAACGAACCUUUCGGGGUUAGUGGCGGACGGGUGAGUAACACGUGGGAACGUGCCUUUAGGUUCGGAAUAACUCAGGGAAACUUGUGCUAAUACCGAAUGUGCCCUUCGGGGGAAAGAUUAAUCGCCUUUAGAGCGGCCCGCGUCUGAUUAGCUAGUUGGUUGAGGUAAUGGCUCACCAAGGCGACGAUCAGUAGCUGGUCUGAGAGGAUGAUCAGCCACAUUGGGACUGAGACACGGCCCAAACUCCUACGGGAAGCAGCAGUGGGGAAUCUUGCGCAAUGGGCGAAAGCCUGACGCAGCCAUGCCGCGUGAAUGAUGAAGGUCUUAGGAUUGUAAAAUUCUUUCACCGGGGACGAUAAUGACGGUACCCGGAGAAGAAGCCCCGGCUAACUUCGUG
rnacentral:rRNA from 1 species